AGGAAGGGACAGCAAGUGAAGGGCGCCUCCCACCAGGCAGCUGCCCAGGAACGGCUGUGUCCGGAGCGGGCCGGUGCUGCUGCUCGCUGCCCGUCACCCGGGAGAGUCGCUCCGCAGUCCUCCAGGAGGAAGCUCAGCGGCUCAGGUGACAGUGCCGCUCAGAUCCGGGGUUCCGCCCACAGUCUACGCGCAGUUCUACAGCACCAGCCGGCCAGGGAAGCGGAGCGAAUGGACCCGGCAUCCCGGGCCAUCCCGGAGGGCUGCGCAGGGCGCUGGCUGCUCGGCUGUAAGAGGCACCAGUGCCCUUCUGCCAUGCCACCCUGCCUUGGAGCCAGCCAGGUAUGGACUGAAAGCUCUACAAACUGUGAGCUGAAUAAACCUUUCCUCCUUUAACUGUGGAUAUCAAGUGUUUUGUCUCAGCAACAAGAGAAAAGUAACUAAAAUGGGGACAUAAUCUCUGAAGAGUUUUGUGGCAAAAUGCACACACCAAUCAGUUCCUCAAGAAAGAAGUCACCCAACAGCUUCAGGAGCAGGUGGUCAAUCCUCAGCGCAGCCGCCAUGGGCUCUCCACAUGGAGGGACCAGCUCUCCUCCCUUCCACUGGUCCCUCUGGCCAUGAUUGAGCUGGGUGCUGAGGACUCUGGCCUGGCUCUAUUUAUGGAAAGCAGGAUGGUUUUCAAGACACCCAGGCAGUCAAGGUGCCAUGUGGUGAUGGAGAAAGACAGAUCUAUAAGCACCAGAGUGAGGUUCUGGUGACCUGAGCCCACUGCUGUGUGGAGACACCUGGUGAAGCUACUGUCUUCGUGUCUGAUUGGGAGGUGAAAUCUUCAACUGAGGACUUGGCUGGUAAGAAUGACGGAGAAUCCCUUAAAUUCAAACUCACUGGACAGGACUGCCAUGAUACUCACUUCAAAACAAAACAUGACAACACAUCUCUUACAGCUUCUAUCUAGAUGGACCCCAAAAGCUUCUUGCUCUCAUGGUGAGGGGUGAGGGGUGUUUUCAGGGGAGCUGGGUGUAGGGUGUGUAAAUGUGAAGUAAGGGUAUAAUAACUGAAUUAGUAGUCUACUGAUUGGUCUGGCAUUGUCCUGGGUACGGGUAAUGGGAAGCUCCAUCCCAGGUGCGAGUGGCACCAGUCAAUAGACCUGGAGCCUUGACAAAACAUGAGGAGAAGAGACAGAAGGCAGAAGGCAAGACCCUUACUUGCUGCUUCCUGCCUACCUGCUAUGGACUGUUUCUCCUCUGGGAUUCCCUUUGCCAUGACACCACGACUCAGAGCCAGCCAACUACAGACUGAAACCUCUACAAACUGUGAGCAAAAUUAAACCUAUCUUCCUUUAACUUGUGAGUAGUGGGUAUUUUGUCUCAGAAACAAGAGAAGUAACUAGGACAGGGAUGCAAAUUCAUCAGAAACCAGAACUACAACGCACAGUUGGUUUACUGAUGAGAGAGAAAAUGCCAUCCUGCCAGGUGUAAUUUAGGAGUAACUGGGAGAGAUUUGGAAACAUUGUUUAAACUUGCAGUUUCUCCCAAAUAAGCACUAGAUGUGAAGACAUGGUUCAAAUGAAGUAGUAACAGCAGAUAGCUAGCUCUCCUCAGACCCCCAGUCUCUGCCUGCUGCCGGUCUUCCCAUUGCACACGUAGCCAUCACUGACUCUGUGUCAGUGCAUGGAGCAACCCCACAUUGCAGAGGUGCUGUAAAGACAGGAGGUGGAGGCCAAAAAGCCUGACACCAGGGUACAGGCCCAACAGCAUGGCCAAGGUCCCCAGCCAUGGCUGAUCCCAGUCCUGCUCCUGAACCCCUUUACCCAGGCAACUUCAAAGCCCCUUCCAUUUAACCUGUGACUAAUGACAGGAUGAGGAUUGACCCAUUCAUAGUGAUGAAAAUAAAUACAUAGCGAUUAGGCCAGGCUGCAGACAUGUAGGUCCAGACCUAGAAAUGAUUUCUUGACUUGGGGCUUCACCCCAACUUUGAUUGCUCCCUGUGAGGAAUGAUCACCGUGACCACAUUGGUAGUAAAUGUUGAACUUUUCUACUGAAUACUGAUGUGACAGAAAAUAAACACAUGUCAAGCAUGCAAAGUCUUGGGGCCCCAGUAUGACGGAAGAGCUGAAGACAUUCAUGGAUGUCUUCAAAGACUUAAAACUGCAGAGACAGGAAUGGCAUCACUCUGCAGCCCUUUAUUGGAAGGCUUUGCAGGUCUCCUGUCAAGGACAGCAAAUUGCUACCUCUGAAAAAUCAGCUAAGAUUGUUGUCCAUUAACCCGAAGAUUUCUACUCACGAUUCUAAAUUCUGUGGCUCUAGCCAGAGGCCUGGGACCAGGCAUGUGCUGGAGGGCUGUGGUUUCAAUAUAGCCUGGGUUCCUGUGUCCUUUAGUUCAGCUUUCUGUCAUAGCCCAGCCCAGGUAUGCAGAGACCUGCCCACUGAUAAGGGCCUUAUUUAGAUUCCCACAGCCACAUUCCCCACUGUGACCUGGGCUUAUGUAAGCAACUGACUCACUGGGUCCCCUUCCUGAAAUGCAGGUGAGAGCCAGUCUCAGUCACCUGAGAUGCUUGAAAGGGAAACCCAGAGGCCUAGUCCUCCCUGACACUCGUCCUGCUUUAUGACAGCUCUUGAUGACACAGAAAAGAUCACAGAGGAAAGGGGAGGCUCUAGAUGACUUAAAAAUGCAGUUGCCACCCCUCCUUCAGUGCGGGGCAAUGUGGUGCCCGCCUCCAUCUACUAAAAACACUCUUCCAUCCUUCAAAAUCAAAGAUAUUUUCCCUUUUCCUGAGGUUUCCAUAUUCUGUUUUGUUUUGUUUUGUUUUUCAGGUUGCUUUCGUACAAAGACUGUUGACUGUUUUUGUAAAUCAUGGAUAGUUUUCUUUCUCCUGAAUUUCAUGUCAUAUUUUACUUGUUGUCUUCCCACAUAUAGCCAGCAGUGAGGCCUGCUGAUUUAAGGCAUACAUUAGAUAAGCAUCAAAGUCAGCCCUUCUCUCCCGCACUUCCACCACCACCAUCUGUGCUUUGGCCCCUGGGACUCAGUUGAACAAUUACUGUGUCUCACCCUUUUGAUCUGUUUUCUGCAGUCUUGGGCUAUGGUCCGUUAAAUACAAAUCAUGUUAUCCCCUAUUCCUGACCUGCAGGUAACUUCUCCAGGGAGUUUCAGGUGUGUGAAUGAAUUCUCUUCCAGGAGAACCACUGUAAGUUGGCUUCAUUCAUAAGUCUGAUGAGGCAAGUGUUUUGCACCUUUGACACAAACACACGAUAGCUUUCUGUUUCCACGCAGUUCCCUCCACAGCACCACUGCUUUCCUCCAGCUUCCAGACAUCCUGGGCUCUGAUGGGGCACUGCACCCCUGUAUAGGAUCACACUGUUCAGGGAGCACACAGCAGCACAGCUGUGAUGACACCAGCAGACACUACUUCGCCAACUUAUUGGUAUCUGUGACUGUAGUGUGAAGCUUCACUUGUAUCUGUGAAUGCUCACAUCUCUAAUGUUUGUAAGUUAGGGACUCACUGUAAUUGCAUUUUUAAUAAAAGGCAGAGGCCCUAGUGAAGCCCACACCCCUCUAUCCCCUCCUGCUGCUGACUUCUCAGGAGUACACAUGCUACACCCUGCAUGGGUUUUCUUGUCCUCUGCAUACUGGACCCCCAUGCUACUCCAGUCCAGGAACCCUUUGACUUCAUCCAUCUGCAUGGCCAGUCUGACUCUGGUCUGUGUCUUCACUCCUAAAUGACCUCCACAGAGAUGCCACCCUGGCCACCAGAGCUAUGACAUCCCUUAAAUCAUAGAGUGUCAUGUUUUCCUUUAUCUGAGAAGCACACCUACUAAAGUAGUAAUGUAUCCUAAUAUAAAGACUCAUCAAGUCAGAGGCAAGAAGUUUAAUAACCAAUAGUAAGCCCUAUAUAAGUAUGUGUGACUUUUAUUAGAAGUAGCAUUUAUUUUCUUUCUUCUCUCAGUAAAAUAUAAAUCUAUAGUUUUCCUGGCUUGUGCAUGACAUUGUAAAAUAUAGUACAAAACAACACAUAGUAAACCCUCAAUAAAUAUUUGAAUGCUUCAGUGAAGUAAUGAAAUAUUUAAGCAUUUCUUCUGUCUUUAAUACCUCUUUCACUUUUGCCAAUUCCUUAGCUAAAGACAUUUCCUCAGACUCAAUCACUGUGUUGGUUAGUUGGUUGGUUUGCUUUGCCUUUCAAAUAUUUCCUCUCUCCUUCCUCCUCAAAACUGUUUAAGUAAAAAUGCUUCUCUGGGUUCAGCGCUGUCUCCAUGAUGGGGUUCCCAUCAUGACAGAUCUAGUAUGGACCUGCCGCCCAGACUCUUCGCUGGGAAGCCGCUGCCAGCGGGGGCUUGGGCCACAGGACACCAAGGAUAGGGUACGAAUUCUAUGACUCGGCCAAUCAUAGCCUUCAUGGAGACCCUCUUCUCCUUUCCCAUUUUGCUUUACUUUAAUGGUUGGGCCAGGGCCAGGCCCUUGUACAUGCUUAACACAUACCCUGCACUGAGCUGCCCUGGGCUCUGUGCUUUUUGUGGAUAAUAAUUAUUAAUUUCUGUCUUCUUUCUCAGAGUUUGCAUAUAAAUGAAAAUUAUUACAUGUGCAAGUGUUUCCUGAAUUAUAAACAGUGCAUAGUUUUGAGAUACUCAUACUAAAUGUGUUCUUUAUGUGAUGAGUCAGACUGUUAUCUGAUUUAACAUAAUUAAUCUCCUCCUUUCCUAAGCUGAAUUCUUUCCAAUUUUGCCUUUGGUCAUUUCCAUAUCCAGUAUUUCUAAGCCACAGAUUUUCCUCUGUUCUGUCUACAGCUCUUCUGCUGCUCUCUGUUCUUCCAGAUGUAACCCUAGUCUGGCUUGCCUCAGCUCACUCCCAGGCUAUGCAUCAACACUUCAUCAGUUGGCCACUUGGCCUCCUAUCUUUCUCUCCAUCUGUCUCUUCAAAUAAUUCCAGUUCAGUUUUUCCAACACACCAGUUGUAUGAGAUUUCUGUUACUGCUGCAUUAAGGUUUAUGCUUUGCUCAGCUGAAGAGCCCUGCCUUGGCUGAGGGAUGAGCUCCUGUCCCCAGCGAGGCAAUGACAUGCUGUCUUCCUAGCACCCAGGCAGCCAUGGAGUAAAACUUGCCCGAGUGUCUGCACACUAGAUUCUGCAGGCUGCCCCUCAGAGUCAUGGAAACUAUCCUGUUCUUUUGCUUCUACUUUAAUUCUAUGGAAUCUUCAUAGAAAAUCCCAAUGGAUUUCUUCUUGAUUAAAUCAGAACUGUUGUCUUUUCCUUAAAAAUUCAGAAACUGAGGGAUGUGGUUCAGCAGCAGUGCACUUGCUUAGCGUGGCCAGCACCCUGAAUUCCAUCCCCAGCAUCAACAGAAAAAGAAAAGGAAUAAAGAAAGAAACUCUACUUACCAAAGUAUUUUGUUCUUAAAAAAAAAAAAAAAAAAAAAAAAAAAAAAAAAACUAUUCCUUUUAAAUUCUUCCUCUAAAUACAUUUCCCACUGUUCGUUUACUUCACACCUCCUGAAAAUUACUAGGUAUAAAAAUUCUUUCAUUGACAUUCACUGACUGAUUCACAAACUAGUCAUUAAUUUUAAAAGCAUGAACAUCUCUUGAUAGCAACUGGAAGGUAACAUUCAUCUACAACCUGACCCUAAAUGUGUCCGUCCUGUCUGAUCUUGAAGCCUAGCAGGGUUGGGCCUGGUUAGUAACUGGAUGAGAGGAAUGUGACACAUAUUUCCUUGAUUCCAAGCCUACCAUUCCUACAGAAAUGACAAAGCUGACAGGGGAUUGGUUAGCAUGAUUGCUAUUCACUGAUUUUAUUAUCGUGAACCCUCUUCUAGUCAUAGGACUUCUAUUUGCUUGGCAUAUAAUUUAUCCACUCAUGCAAACUGCAUGAAAUCAAUUUAAGCUGUAGGUAUUUUCUUACUAUAUAUAUUAUACUGCACCCUCCUUGGAGAUCUGUGGAACAUUUUCCCAAAUAUUUCUCUAAAAUUCAGAUAAGUAGAAUGGAGCAAUGUGGUACUCAGAGACUAUAGCAAAUGUUCAAAUUUCAAAAACAUCAUUAUAAUGAAAGAGAUGUUGCCAUUCAUUUCCCUCAAAAUCCUCCUCCUCACUUCAAAUGCAUGUAUCCUAUCAUCCUUGUCACUUCCUGCAGUGAUGCUGGACGUCCCCUCUUGUGAGUGUCUUUAGCUGUGCUGUUACGGCCACCAUGAUGUCCUGAAUCACUUCAAAAUGAUGAAUUUUCCAGGUGAUUUUGAUUUAGGGAAAAAUCAAGGAUCACAGGGUGCCAGGUUCAGUGAAUAAGAUAGAUAAGGACACAACACUCAGCAGCAGAGCUCAGUAUAAUUUUUGUCACACUUCAUCAAGAUUCUCACCAGAGAAACUUCCAGAACUGCUUCAGAAGAUGAUAAGAACAACGUGUCACAUGUACUUGAAGUGAAGGAGCAUAUUCUGAGGAAAGUUCAUGCAAUGUCUUUUACUGUAAUGCAAGUACAUUAAUUUAAAUAUUAACCUCAGUGUCUGAUCCACCUUGGUUUGGCUUUGUAUGCUGAGUAGUUAAAUAAAUUGCUGACCAAAUAGAUUAUUUCCAAGAGAUCUGCAUUUUAUGUCUCUUUUGAAUGCAUUCGUGUUACAAUGGAAUGAGAUGUCUUAUUUUUAUAGUGUUUUAUGGUCAUGUGGGGAAAAAUAUAGUCUAGAGUGAAUCAAAA